GGGGAAUAUUGGACAAUGGGGGGAACCCUGAUCCAGCCAUGCCGCGUGUGUGAAGAAGGCCUUUUGGUUGUAAAGCACUUUAAGCGAGGAGGAGGCUACUCUAGUUAAUACCUAUGGAUAGUGGACGUUACUCGCAGAAUAAGCACCGGCUAACUCUGUGCCAGCAGCCGCGGUAAUACAGAGGGUGCGAGCGUUAAUCGGAUUUACUGGGCGUAAAGCGUACGUAGGCGGCUUUUUAAGUCGGAUGUGAAAUCUCCGAGCUUAACUUGGGAAUUGCAUUCGAUACUGGGAAGCUAGAGUAUGGGAGAGGAUGGUAGAAUUCCAGGUGUAGCGGUGAAAUGCGUAGAGAUCUGGAGGAAUACCGAUGGCGAAGGCAGCCAUCUGGCCUAAUACUGACGCUGAGGGACGAAAGCAUGGGGAGCAAAC
rnacentral:rRNA from 1 species